UGUAAGUUAACGUAGUCCAAGGUUUAGACUUUGAAACUUGCGAUUGCGAUAACUUGCGGG
rnacentral:pre_miRNA from 1 species